AUGAAUUGCAUCGUGUGGAACUGUCGAGGUGCGGGGAAUGCUUUGACAAUUCGGGAUCUCGUGGCUCUCUCUCGAGCCCAUUCCCCAAGUAUGAUAUUUUUAUGUGAAACUAGACAACAGAAAGAUAAGAUGUAUCGUCUUCGUAAUAGACUCGGUCUUCGUGGCUUUGAAGGAAUAAGCAGUGAGGGUAAUAGCGGUGGUCUAGCCUUAUUUUGGGAUGAA
rnacentral:rRNA from 1 species